rnacentral:lncRNA from 1 species
GGAAGCUCCUGCAGGGGUUUGAUUUGGUUUUGGAGAAACGUUCAGGGCUCAGAAGGCCAGGAAGGGUGCGCUCAGGGCACCACCGCGAGGGGAGGGGCAGAACUCGCCUGCCCUGAGCCCCCCACCCAGGAAACAGCUGCUGGCCACUCCCAGGAUGUCCUUUCCUUCCUUUUCUUUAUGGUCUUGCCAUCCUAGUUUGUAUCGGAGCAACGUGCGGUUGCGUUUUCCUUGCUUUGAACUAAUGCUCUCAUCGCAGUAGCGACAUGCUUGAGGGUUGCCUCUUGUAGUCCACAGGGCCCUCGAGGGAGACGUUUGCCGUCUGCGUUGCUGGGUAGGAUCCACUGCCCGCGGAACCGCACUUUCUCCUGGCUGGGGUGGCUUCCGUUUUUCUGCUCUUGUAAGUGACACCACCGUCACCCUCACGCAGAGACCUCGCCUUCACCUCAGGAGCUCCUUGAGCCACACGUCCAGUGGUGGCGUUCCUGGCACGGGGGGUGGCGCGUUCAGGUUUACUGGGUAAUCGCAGACUGACCCGGGUGGUGCCCACGGAGUCCACUUCCCAGGGCUGGGGGGGGCCGUCGCUGCCCCUUGCCCUCUGCUGGCGCGGCGAGCGCGUGGCAGCCCGCACUUCCCAGGCUGGAGGGGCGCCUCAGCAGUUUUCCUGUGGCUUCCUCUCUUGCGCAGUGCCCCCUGGGUGGACCUGGCUGUUCUCUGUCGGGUUGUUGGCUGGCAGGAGCCGCGUGAGCUGUGCUUUCAUUUCUGUGACUUCUGUCCGAGGUGUCUGCUGGGCCUCGGAGCCGGCCGCUCCCCGCGCACGAGCUGGUGCACCUGUUCCGGCCACCUCCAUGGGCUCAUGAGGCACCCGCUUACCAAGUUUUUUCACCUUUCCAAUUUGCUUCAAAUGCCAAACGACUGUAGAAUGAUGGACAUUGAAUUCUUCAGCAACUUCUCGUGUAGUUUAAGAGGAUCAGCUUCAGUGAUUGCUUUCAACUGGUCAUUGUCAACUUCGAUGGCCGGCCACUACGCUCCUCAUCUUCAGGACUCAUCUCCUUUGCAGAACUUCUUGAACCACCACUGCACUGUACGUUUUUUAAAGUUCCUGGACCAAAUGUGGUGUUGAUGUUGCAAGGUGUGUCCACUGCUUUAUGAUCCAUUUUGAAUUCAAAUUAAAAAAAUCGCUCGAAUUUGCUUUUUCUGUAACAUCAUUUCCAUAGUGUGAAAUAAAUAUAAACAGCAAGUAGAAAGUCAUUAGCAAAAAAAACAUAAAGUGAGAAAUGUCCAUUAAAAUGCUGUAUAACAUAACCACAUUUAUUUAAGAAUAUAUGCCAGUAUCAAAUGGCAAAUUUCAACAAUGCAAAACUGCAGUUGCUUUUGUACCCACCUAUAUAAGGAGAGUUCCUAACGUCUUUCUGCUUAGGACGGAGAGGUGUGUGCGUGCGUGCAUGCGUUUGUGUGUCCCUCUGCCCCUCAGUCUGUCUCUUGUCCACUCUUUCUCUCUGGUCUGUGUAUGUGUGUGAACCUUUCUUUGUUGUUUUUGCUUUUAUUAGCAACUUUGAGGCACGAUUUGUAAUUAAUAAAUUUCCCCAAUUUUCAGUGUACGGUCAGUGAGUUUUACAGUCGUGCGUCCACUUGUAGAGUCGUGAUCUCAGUCCCCCGUCCCCAUCCCCAUCCCCAUCCCUAGCUGUCGCUAAUCUGAUUUCUUUCUCUGUAGUUUUAUUUUUUCUAGAAUCUCAUAUAAAUGGAAUCACUAUGCAUUAAUUAGGGUUUUCCAGAGAAACAGAAUCGGCAGGAGAUGUCUGUGUAUUUGUGUAACUGUUGGAUUUGUUAUAGGAAUUGGCGCUGCUCCCUGGGGAUUGGGCAGUCCACAUUCCAUAGGGCAGGCUGCAGGUCGGGAGCUGGAAGGAGGCCCUGAGUUUCCAGGAGAAGCUGUCUGAAUGGAGGAGGGUAGGGAUUCUCCUGACUGCUGAGAGCCCAGUUCUCACUCUCAGCGCCGCUCCUUGCUGAGGGCAGCCUUGGUUGACUGUCGCCGUAUGCGAAGCCACCUGACCAGUGAUUUAAGUUCCGAAACCAGCGGGGCAGUGCUUGCUUGACAGACAGCUGGGCACGGUGACCAGCACUUCCUGUCACGCUGGACGCUGGGUCUGUGUGUCCAGCCUAACGCUGUGGCCAGCCGUCCCUGCCGCUGCGGGCGUCAGUCGUCUGUUCCUUUUCGAGACCUGAG